CAUUAACUAUAAGUUUCAAACUUCAUACUCUCAACAAUAUACAUUUGUUUUAACAGUGUGUAUAACGCAUCGCAAUUUGUURCUAUUUCAUUCCAUUARAUCUUGAAAAUAUUGUAUUAUCUUCAGUCAAAACAGUGUCUGUACGCACAACUUGUACAUUACGUCAUAUUUUUGCGUUGUCAUAAGCCUUAACUUUGCCAAGUUAGAAAUGUUUAAGUUGCGAGUUGUAAGCUUCCUCAUGUCAUGCUUGGUUUGUUCAAGUUUGUUUCGCAUUCAGAGCAAGAGUAAGUUGGUUAAAAAACCCAGCCUGAUUUUGUUAUGAUUGGGAAUGAAGAUUUCAUAAACUGAUUUUCAGUGUAAGUAAACUCGUUGCAGUCAUAUGCAAUCCUGCAUCCACAAAUUAUGUGAUUAUGUUAAAUAUGUGKUAACUUUUUUACAUGAUUAUAGGAAAACAUGUACUAAACAAAUGUGUAGGUUACAAUCAGAGAGGACAACCUCUUUCUCUGCUACAGUGUUGCACCCUUUCCARUGGGUACAGACAUCAGUUCAACGUCGUUUUGAUUUACAUUUUGUUGAGUUGUCAACUAACGUMAAAURAACGUGAAAUCAACAACYAUGUCACCACAUCAUCUGAUUUAAGUUAAAAGUUGUGUGAAAAAAAUACGAAAUGGCCUUAUGUUGAUGACUUUUGGCAKAUCCAAUCAUUUCCCCACGCUUAUUCAACGCAAUUACAUAUAAUUAUUUUAUGACGUGGAAACAACGUUGAUUCAACCAUUUUUUCCCCCAGUAGGGUGUCUGUCAGUAGAUUAUAAUAAAAUAGCUAGAAUAGAACAGAAUAGACUGGAAUACAAUACAAUAGAAUAUCGGUUACAAGCAAAAUCAUUCCCCGACAACAACAGGCAAGAACUGUCACUAUAUAGGGUUGUUAAAGACUGUCACAAUGGUGGGUAUAUGGCAGCGACGACCUAUAAAGAACAAUAAUGGUCAAGGACCAAGGACUCAUCAUUAGGUCGCGCGCUCAUAGAAUGGGACACGGCGGCGCACUGUCCUCAAAGUCCCCUUCCCAUUCAUGCUGUGGCAGGAGAGACGGGGAGAAAAUAUCCAUCGAGGCACUUAGCUACAGCCAAAGCGAUGCACCACAUGCAUUUCAGAUGCUUACAUUCAGAUGUGGCAACAAUGAUUCUGUAUCACGAAAAUGUAACGAAUACCGAUGUGAAUCGGUCUAUUGCGCACCAAAUAGUCACGUAAUGCGUGUUUUAAUCUCAGUAUUUUGUGGUCACCGACUGGCAUAGUUAUUUUUGUCGAGAUAUUUUGAUACCUCCGUGAAAAAGUAUUUUUCUUUCAACAGCAUGCGUUCAGCACAACAUCCCUGCUGGAGCUAUUAUUGKUUAUUUAAUCAUCAAUCGUUUUAUUUUAUGUUUUUCAAGAACGUGGAGCAGRGUUUUGCAUGAAGUGAUGAAGUCAGAUGSCAAUGCAGUGGAAUCUGAACCCGGUAGAGUACAGCCAGCGCGUGCUGUGGUCGUGGAGCGGAUAAAUGCCAUAGCGUGAAGCGCUAACCCCCACGAAGAGAACUCCAUGUCUUUCUUGGACUGCUCCUGCAUCUCCCCCACUCAGGUCCAGCCAAUCAGCAUAGAGGACCAGUAUGAGGACGUCAGCCACCAAUACCUGAGCUCUGACGUCUCAGAAUGCACUUUCACCUGGGGUGGUGGCAGCAGCGAUGACAUCACAGCGCUCUC